UACGGAGGAUCCAAGCGUUAUCCGGAUUCAUUGGGUUUAAAGGGUGCGUAGGCGGGAUAGUAAGUCAGUGGUGAAAGCCUGCAGCUUAACUGCAGAACUGCCAUUGAUACUGCUAACCUAGAGUACAGCUGAUGUGGGCGGAAUGUGUCGUGUAGCGGUGAAAUGCUUAGAUAUGACACAGAACACCGAUUGCGAAGGCAGCUCACAAAACUGUAACUGACGCUGAGGCACGAAAGUGUGGGGAUCGAACAGG
rnacentral:rRNA from 1 species